UACGGAGGGUGCGAGCGUUGUCCGGAAUCACUGGGCGUAAAGGGCGCGUAGGUGGUGGCUUAAGCGUGCGGUGAAAGCUCGGGGCUCAACUCCGAGUCGGCCGUGCGAACUGGGCUCACUGGAGCAUAGUAGAGGCAGGUGGAAUUCCGGGUGUAGCGGUGGAAUGCGUAGAGAUCCGGAAGAACACCGGUGGCGAAGGCGGCCUGCUGGGCAGUAGCUGACACUGAGGCGCGACAGCGUGGGGAGCAAACAGG
rnacentral:rRNA from 1 species